UACGAAGGGGGCUAGCGUUGUUCGGAAUUAUUGGGCGUAAAGGGCGCGUAGGCGGUGCUAUAGGUCUGUGGUGAAAUCUCUGGGCUCAACUCAGAGUCUGCCAUAGAAACUGUAGUGCUAGAGUAUGGUAGAGGUUGGUGGAACUGCGAGUGUAGAGGUGAAAUUCGUAGAUAUUCGCAAGAACACCGGUGGCGAAGGCGGCCAACUGGACCAUUACUGACGCUGAGGCGCGAAAGCGUGGGGAGCAAACAGG
rnacentral:rRNA from 1 species